GAUGAAGAACGCAGCGAAAUGCGAUAAGUAGUGUGAAUUGCAGAAUUCAGUGAAUCAUCGAAUCUUUGAACGCACAUUGCGCCCCUUGGUAUUCCAUGGGGCAUGCCUGUUCGAGCGUCAUUUGUACCCUCAAGCUUUGCUUGGUGUUGGGCGUCUUGUCGUAUUACGACUCGCCUUAAAUACAUUGGCAGCCGGCACUUUGGCCUAGGAGCGCAGCACAUUUUGCGAUCGUAGCCCGUUGUACUGGCGUCCAUCAAGAACAUUUACCACGUUUGACCUCGGAUCAGGUAGGGAUACCCGCUGAACUUAAGCAUAUCAAUAAGCGAGGA
rnacentral:misc_RNA from 1 species